GCGCUGGCUUCGGCAGCGCAUAUGCUAAAAUUGGAACAAUAUAGAGAAGAUUAGCAUGGCCCCUGUGAAAGGAUGACAUGCAAAUUUGUGAAGCAUUCCAUAUUAAG
rnacentral:snRNA from 1 species